rnacentral:lncRNA from 1 species
GGGCCCCUCCCUUUCCCCAUUGGGGCCCUGGUGCUUGCUGGGGGAGACUCUUUCCUCUCUUUUUAUUGCUCUAUAACGCUCAAGGCGAGGGGGAUAUAAGGCCGGUGGAGUAGAGCCUGAGAGGGGGGUGGGCGGGAGGGAGAGGCGCUACCGGCAUAAGGGAACGUGAUGAACUCCCAGUUGAUCGGGAUCCUGUUCAGCGCCCUGCUAGGGGCUGCCCUGGGUAAGGAGGAAGCUACAGUGCCCCUGGCACGGGCCCGCCCUUCCCUCUGCUAGAACUCCUCUAAGGGCCAGAUCCAGUACCUCUUUUUCCUGACAGGACAGCGCAUGCGGUGCUAUGACUGCGGUGGAGGCCCCAGCAACUCCUGCAAGCAGACAGUGAUCACCUGUGGUGAAGGUGAGCGCUGUGGAUUCCUGGACCGCAAACCUCAACCCAGCUCAGAACAAGCCAAGCAACGUGAGUCCUUGGUCGUCCACCCAUCCCCCUUCCCACUGCUUCUAACCAGCCCCCUCUUCAAUCC